CCUGGCAAUCCUUCUCCAUUGUUGUCCAGUAAAAUCCAGCCCUUAGGGCACGCGCCCUAAGUGACCGACCGCCCCCAUGUCUGCCACACAUCCCCUCGUGCAACUCCCUCAUUAUAUACUCCGACUCCUCCUUUGAGACGCAUUUAAGCAUUGGCGUCACAUACCCCCUUCGGUAUAACUCUUCUCCAAUCAGGACAUACCGG
rnacentral:lncRNA from 1 species